rnacentral:lncRNA from 1 species
CCUCGGUCAACUAGCAAACUAAGAUCACAGCAAGGGGGCAGGGAGAGAGACCCUUUGAUAUCCAGUGCCAAAGUGAAGCAAUCUGCCCUCUUCCAGACUUUUUUGAAAGGGUUGGCAGGCAGUUGAUGACUAUGGUCAAAGUUUUUCCUCUGAUCUGCCACUGGUGUUGCCUGCCCAGCUCGAUGCCAACAACCAGGCAUCUAUCCAGCACUUCACAGAAACAAGGAUGCUUCUCACCCACAGUGCCAUGGAGACCACAAGUGAUGCAUAAAGAAGAAGCAUUACCACCAUCAAAAACCACCAGUGGGAGACCAGUUGUUCUAUUGUGCAGUUGCCAUCUGUUUUAAUAAUUUGGGGUUCCAGGAAGGAGUCUUACUACUAUCAUUUUACCCAAGGAAGGACUUUUGAUGCAGUAGUGUUGUCCACUAAUGAAAAAGAUGAGCUGUAUUUUCCCACCUUCUCUUAACCCCAAAGUUCCCAUAUUCUAUAUGACAUCAAAUCUGGGGAGUCAGGAAAUUGUUGAGGAUGGUGCCUGAUGGUGAUGGGGGAGGGGAAAGCAAGAAAAUUGUCUGCCCCCUCCUUUUCUAUGACUCUGAAUUCCUUCCAUAGCAUUAGACUAUUAUUGACAUAGUUUUUAUUUUGUUUUUAAAAAAAUCCGUUUGGAGUUCUCAAGAUUCUAGAUAUGUGAGAAGUCCGCACUCACUUUAGACUGCUAGCUUCUAAUCGGUAGUUACCACGUGUUUUGGCUCAGUGGGCACAUUUGAACGUUUAAGAGCAUGCCACUGGUACUCUUAUUUUUGGUUCUCUGCUCUCAAGGCAGGAGUGGGAUAUUCAGAAGCACCAAGGGGAAUUGGUCCCAGGCAGCCUUAUGUCACUGGUGUUGUGCUGCCCCAGACUAUAAUGUAGUUUGCACUGAUGAUCUGUGAUGAGAGCAACAAUCUAAACAAGUUCAAGAAACAUAAGGCUGAAACAAGGCGAAGUAAAACUUUCAAAUUAGCACAUUUCCCUC